GUCCACGCUGUAAACGAUGAGUGCUGGAUGUCGUGGGUAUUGACCCCCGCGGCGUCGUAGCUAACGCGUUAAGCACUCCGCCUGGGGAGUACGGCCGCAAGGCUAAAACUCAAAGGAAUUGACGGGGGCCCCGUACAAGCGGUGGAGCAUGUGGUUCAAUUCGACGCAACGCGCAGAACCUUACCUGGGUUAAAUCCACCAGAACCCUGCAGAGAUGUGGGGGUGCUCUUCGGAGAAUUGGUGAGAAGGUGCUGCAUGGCUGUCGU
rnacentral:rRNA from 1 species